CAACUACUACAGCAAAGUGCUUUGUUGUGAAACUAGCGUGACAGCAGAGAAAAGAAACGGAAAGAAACUGGGUCCGUGACAACGCCGGCUGCUGGCGUAGACAGCCCUGAAAUCAGCCCCACCUCUGGACCUUUGACUUACAGGAGCCAGCAAAUUUUCUGUUCCUAAAGCAGAAAAGUGUCAUGCAAUCUCAUGCAAUCAACAUCAAAUCUGGAAUCAGGAGACCUGUGUUUGAAAAAGGAAUUGGAUAUCGCCUGCUUGAAUUCCGGCCAAUCACCCUCUAGUUAUCUGACCUUCAGACUGGAGAUGAUAAUACUUGCUUAAUAAUCACCCUUACGAGAUGUGUGUGAAUAUCAAAUGAGCUCGGGUAUGGGAAAAUGAUAAUCCUCAAAUUCAGGACUCACUAUCAUGCUAUCUUGUAUUCUUUGCUUUGUUUUCAUGCGUGCCUGCACUGUUUUCCUAGGUUGCAAGCCCACUAGAAUUAGGGACCAUAUCUCAAACUUCCUUUGGAUUCUCAAUACAGGACUAGCAUCGGGUUCAGUAACAACAAAAGUAGCAGCAAGGACAAUAUUAACUUUUUAAAGUAGCAAAUAUUUAUUUGAAUACUUACUAUGGCCCAUGCAUGGUUCAAAUCACCACUACUACUAAGUUAUUUAGGUAAGAAAACCUAAUGUUUGUACUUUAUAGUAUAGAACUGCCUGAACUGGAAAGGGAAGAUUCCAAAUGUUUUAACCAACAUAUUAAUCUGCAUAAAGAUAAAAGCAGGCGGGAAGAGGAGAGCAAAAUGAGAAAAAUAAACAGCAGGGUAAAGUCCAAGAAAAGCCAACGCACUGGAGGGGAGGUAGGUUUGUCCGAACCAUGAAAAUUCUACAGACAGCAGAUGAUAUGGUUUGGUUCUGUGUUCCCACCCAAAUCUCACCUUGAAUUAUAAUCAUCCCCAUGUGUCAAGAGCAGGACCAGGUGAAGAUAACUGAAUCAUGGGGCAGUUUCCCCCAUACUUUUCUUGUGAUGGUGAGUGAGUUCUCACAAGAUCUGAUGGUUUUAGAAGGGGCUUCCACCUUCGCUCGGCACUCAUUCUCUCUCCUGCCACCCUGUGAAAAGGUGCCUUCCUGCAUGACUGUAAGUUUCCUGAGGCUCUUCCCCAACCAUGUAAAACUAUGAGUCAACUAAAACUCUUUUCUUUAUAAA